UGUCCCGCUGCCUGAGGCCCACAGCACGUGGCCCACAUUCGGGUGUAACAGGCGCUGUAAUAGAAACAGGGGCCUCUGUGCACUCAGUCUUCCCAAGCCGAUGGGACCCUGAAACCCCUUUCAGCACACCGGGAGGAGCAGGGGUUCCAAGGAACCCUGUUUGGGAAGAGAUGCCCUGGCAGGCAUCCCCCAUGCCUUCUAUGUUCCUGUCUUCCAUUCUUACAGCUCAAUUCCUGCAUUCCCCAAGGAAACCUGUUCCGAAAUGCACAGAUUCUGCUUCACCUUUCCCACCUCUGCUUCUCACGCUGCUGUUUCUCUGUCUGAUCCCAUUGGUGAACUAUGAUAUUCCCAU